UCGAUCUCAAAUCAGGUAGGACUACCCGCUGAACUUAAGCAUAUCAAUAAGCGGAGGAAAAGAAACUAACAAGGAUUCCCCUAGUAACUGCGAGUGAAGCGGGAAGAGCUCAAAUUUAAAAUCUGGCGUGCCUCUGGUCGUCCGAGUUGUAGUCUAGAGAAGUGUUUUCCGUGUUGGACCGUGUAUAAGUCUCUUGGAACAGAGCGUCAUAGAGGGUGAGAAUCCCGUCUUUGACACGGACUACCAAUGCUUUGUGAUACACUCUCAAAGAGUCGAGUUGUUUGGGAAUGCAGCUCA
rnacentral:rRNA from 1 species